UGUCGCGUCGCUGCGCUGUGCAUGUUGCGGCAAAUUGUGCUGUGUGCGUGCGUGCACCACUAUAUCAAGCUAAUAAAGCGUGCACGGCGCUCAGUCACUGCGUGCUUCGUCAGUGAAGUUUUUUUUUUAUUCUGUUCGCGUAGAACUGUAAAACACGCGCGAGAAUAAAGCUGCGAUUCAGCACAUUUAGUGAACGAAUGAUGGAGUGAGGAAUUAAUUCUGAGAGAAUGAGGAUGAAAGAAGGAAGGAAUAUACUAUUGGGAAGGAAAGGAGAAUACAGUGGGCGACUUUAAUGAUUUCUCGAGGUUGUUUUAAUAGAGUACGUCUGUCGUUGCAUCAUCACUGUAUACCGGGUGUUCAGCUGAUAACAACUGCUAACGAGUUUUUAAAUAAUUUUGCAGAUUUUCCUUCAACGAAGAUAUGAAUUGUGAUCUUUGAAGCUUCAAUGGGAAAGGAAAAAUUAAGUCCUGUCCUGUUCCUAAGUACUAGUGCCGCAGGAGUGAUUAGGCUGCACGAGACAUUACCGUAUCUCCUGCUGCUCAAGUGCUUAUCAACGGGUCGGGACGCGUGUCAACUUUUAUUCAUGAUCUAAGAAGCAACAGAAGAACUUCGGAUACUUUUGUUUCGUUAAGUUAUUUCAAAAUAGAUUCAAAAUAGAAUUUAUAAAUAGAGCACAUUUUAAAUAAAAAUAGAUUAAUUUUUAUUUUUUAA